rfam:Ignicoccus islandicus DSM 13165, complete genome.
GCCGCCGUAGCUCAGCGGGAGAGCGCCCGGCUGAAGACCGGGUCGUCCGGGGUUCGAAUCCCCGCGGCGGCA